rnacentral:rRNA from 1 species
GUGAGGAAUAUUGGACAAUGGAUGGAAAUCUGAUCCAGCCAUGCCGCGUGCAGGAAGACGGCCCUAUGGGUUGUAAACUGCUUUUAUACGGGAGCAAUAAGGUCUAUGUAUAGAUUGAUGAGAGUACCGUAUGAAUAAGCAUCGGCUAACUCCGUGCCAGCAGCCGCGGUAAUACGGAGGAUGCGAGCGUUAUCCGGAUUUAUUGGGUUUAAAGGGUGCGUAGGCGGCUUUGUAAGUCAGCGGUGAAAUUUUGCAGCUUAACUGUAAAAGCGCCGUUGAUACUGUGAAGCUAGGAUUUGGUUGCUGUGGGCGGAAUGUGUGGUGUAGCGGUGAAAUGCAUAGAGAUCACACAGAAUAUCGAUUGCGAAGGCAGCUCACAAAGCCAAUAUUGACGCUGAGGCACGAAAGUGUGGGGAUCAAACAGGAUUAGAUACCCGUGUAGUCC